GACGAACGCUGGCGGCGCGCUUGACACAUGCAAGUCGAACGGAAAGGCCUGCUUUCCCUUGUGGAUUGCGGGUACUCGAGUGGCGAACGGGUGAGUAACACGUGAGUGAUCUGCCCCCAACUUGGGUAUAAGCCUGGGAAACUGGGUCUAAUUCCCGAUAGGACUGCAGGGUGGUGCCUGUGGUGGAAAACGAUUUUCUAGUGGUUGGGGAUGAGCUCGCGGCCUAUCAGCUUGUUGGUGGGGUAAUGGCCUACCAAGGCGGCGACGGGUAGCCGGCCUGAGAGGGUGGACGGCCACAUUGGGACUGAGAUACGGCCCAGACUCCUACGGGAGGCAGCAGUGGGGAAUAUUGCACAAUGGGCGGAAGCCUGAUGCAGCGACGCCGCGUGGGGGAUGACGGCCUUCGGGUUGUAAACUCCUUUCGACCGCGAGGAAGCCACCUGGUUGGAAGGGUGGUGACGGUAGUGGUAGAAGAAGCACCGGCUAACUACGUG
rnacentral:rRNA from 1 species